AUAACGGUCCUAAGGUAGCGAAAUUCCUUGUCGGGUAAGUUCCGACCCGCACGAAAGGCGUAAUGAUUUGAGCGCUGUCUCGACAAUGCAUCCGGUGAAAUUGAAGUACCAGUGAAGAUGCUGGUUACCUGCGCCAGGACGGAAAGACCCCAUGGAGCUUUACUCCAGUCUGGUACUGGGACUCGGUAUUGCAUGUACAGGAUAGGUGGGAGGCUAGGAGAUGGUAACGCCAGUUGCCAUGGAGCCGCUGUUGGGAUACCACCCUUGCAGUAUUGGGUUUCUAACCAGCCGCCGUGACCCGGCGGUGGGACAAUGCCAGACGGGGAGUUUGACUGGGGCGGUCGCCUCCGAAAGGGUAUCGGAGGCGCCCAAAGGUUCCCUCAGAAUGGACGGAAACCAUUCGAAGAGUGCAAAGGCAGAAGGGAGCUUGACUGCGACACCGACGGGUGGAGCAGGUACGAAAGUAGGACUUAGUGAUCCGGUGGUAUAAAGUGGGAUUGCCAUCGCUCAACGGAUAAAAGCUACCCUGGGGAUAACAGGCUUAUCACUCCCAAGAGUUCACAUCGACGGAGUGGUUUGGCACCUCGAUGUCGGCUCAUCGCAUCCUGGGGCUGUAGUAGGUCCCAAGGGUUGGGCUGUUCGCCCAUUAAAGCGGUACGCGAGCUGGGUUCAGAACGUCGUGAGACAGUUCGGUCCCUAUCCGGCGUGGGCGUAGGAUAUCUGAGAGGAGCUGUCCUUAGUACGAGAGGACCGGGAUGGACGGGCCGCUGGUGCAUCGGUUAGACUGCCAAGUCUACGGCCGAGUAGCCAAGCCCGGAAGGGAUAAACGCUGAAGGCAUCUAAGCGUGAAGCCCCCCUUAAGAUGAGAUAUCCCAUUCGAAAGAAGUAAACCCCCUUGAAGACGACGAGGUAGAUAGGGCAGAGGUGGAAGUGCAGUAAUGCAUGGAGCUGACUGUUACUAAUCGGGUGAGGGCUUGACCAA
rnacentral:rRNA from 1 species